UACGUAGGGUCCGAGCGUUGUCCGGAGUUACUGGGCGUAAAGCGCGCGCAGGCGGCUCGUCAAGCAUGGCGUGAAAGCCCCCGGCUCAACUGGGGAGGGUCGUCGUGGACUGGCGAGCUUGAGGGCGGUAGGGGCUGGUGGAAUUCCCGGUGUAGUGGUGAAAUGCGUAGAGAUCGGGAGGAACACCCGUGGCGAAGGCGGCCAGCUGGGCCGACCCUGACGCUGAGGCGCGAAGGCGUGGGGAGCGAAC
rnacentral:rRNA from 1 species